rnacentral:rRNA from 1 species
UACGUAGGGGGCUAGCGUUAUCCGGAAUUACUGGGCGUAAAGGGUGCGUAGGUGGUUUCUUAAGUCAGAGGUGAAAGGCUACGGCUCAACCGUAGUAAGCCUUUGAAACUGGGAAACUUGAGUGCAGGAGAGGAGAGUGGAAUUCCUAGUGUAGCGGUGAAAUGCGUAGAUAUUAGGAGGAACACCAGUUGCGAAGGCGGCUCUCUGGACUGUAACUGACACUGAAGCACGAAAGCGUGGGGAGCAAACAGG